rnacentral:ncRNA from 2 species
UGCAUCCGGCCAUCCCUCUUCAGCAAAGCACCGAAGCACACGCAUCACCUAAAGCGCAUGCGUCGGUGCUGCUCAGAAGAGUGGCGGACUGCU